rnacentral:lncRNA from 1 species
UGGCUGAUACUUUUUUUUUUUUGAAAGAAUGCAUAUUACAGAUACCUUCCCUUAUCCUCAGGUUUAUUUUUACAGUUUUAGUUGCCCACAGCUAACUGUGUUCCAAAAAUAUUAAAAAACAUUCUAGAAAUAAACAAUUUGUCAGUUUUAAGUUGCACGCUGGUCUCAGUGUAACAAAAUCAGUAUUGUGACAAAAUGUUCCAUUCCAUCCCCUUUGUCCAUUAUAUCUGUGCUGUACCUACUACCUUUUGGUCACUUAGUAGCCAACUCAGUGAUGAGAUCAGCCAUCAUGAUAUUGUAGUGCUUGUAUUCAGCUCCGUUGAGGGCCAAAGACUGGGAUACAGGUCUGAUCAAUGACUUGGAAGUAAAUUCCUAAACCCUACAGUGUCGCUGUGAUUCCUGUUAAGAAAUGGUGAGAAUUACGAGGAAUUGCUUCUGAAUUGUGUUGGGCUGUUGGCAUAGUGAAGAGAACACAGGAUUGGUUUAGGAAGGAAAUAAACAAGGAAGGAGAAGGAAGAAAAUGAACUAUGUUAGAAACCUCACACUCUGCUUUGAAAUAUGUGACAGCCAUUAGAAGAGGAACAGAUGGAGAAC